rnacentral:ncRNA from 2 species
AACCCCCCGGUGGGAGAAGCGGGCCCAGGCCCGCUGCCGAAGGCGCAACGCCCGUAAUCGCUCAGGCCCCCAAACCGCCGGGUGUGG